rnacentral:rRNA from 1 species
GACGAACGCUGGCGGCGUGCUUAACACAUGCAAGUCGAACGGUAAGGCCCUGCUUUUGUGGGGUGCUCGAGUGGCGAACGGGUGAGUAACACGUGAGUUACCUGCCCUUGACUUUUGGAUAACUUCAGUAAACUGUGGCUAAUACUGGAUAGGAGCUCCUGCUGCAUGGUGGGGGUUGGAAAGUUUCGGCGGUUGGGGAUGGACUCGCGGCUUAUCAGCUUGUUGGUGGGGUAGUGGCUUACCAAGGCUUUGACGGGUAGCCGGCCUGAGAGGGUGACCGGCCACAUUGGGACUGAGAUACGGCCCAGACUCCUACGGGAGGCAGCAGUGGGGAAUAUUGCACAAUGGGCGGAAGCCUGAUGCAGCAACGCCGCGUGCGGGAUGACGGCCUUCGGGUUGUAAACCGCUUUCGCCUGUGACGAAGCGUAAGUGACGGUAAUGGGUAAAGAAGCACCGGCUAACUACGUG